UACGUAGGGUGCGAGCGUUGUCCGGAAUUAUUGGGCGUAAAGGGCUCGUAGGCGGUCUGUCGCGUCGGGAGUGAAAACUCAGGGCUUAACCCUGAGCCUGCUUCCGAUACGGGCAGACUAGAGGUAUGCAGGGGAGAACGGAAUUCCUGGUGUAGCGGUGAAAUGCGCAGGAUAUCAGGAGGAACACCGGUGGCGAAGGCGGUUCUCUGGGCAUUACCUGACGCUGAGGAGCGAAAGUGUGGGGAGCGAACAG
rnacentral:rRNA from 1 species